GAGGGCGUAACUCAAUGGUAGAGUGCCAGCCUUCCAAGCUGGAUGCUGCGGGUUCGAGUCCCGUCGCCCUCU
rnacentral:tRNA from 1 species